UGAUAUGAUAAUAUUCAAACCGAAAACCGAACCGAAAUAACCGAACCGAAAUUAGAAAAACCGAACUGAACCGAACUUAUUUUAGUUCGGUUUCGGUUACUACUUUUACAAAACCGAAAACCGAUUAACCGAACCGAAUUUCUUCAACAAACCGAACCGACCGAAUGCCCACCCCUACCUCUACCACAUUAAUUGGGACAGAGCGAGUAACUGAAAAUGACGAAAAGGAUAUGAUGGGAAGAUCAAGAUUAGAAAAAUUACACAAUGAAACUAAUUAAAGAAAUUCUUAAUUUUUUUUUUCUCAGUUUACAGCCAAAAAAUUUCAUCAUCAUAAAAUUCUUCGCAAAAAGAGAAUUAUAAAUGCUAGAAAUUCCUAAACUUCUAAAAUUUAUACCCUUUCAUUUGGUGCUUGAUUUUUGAACCAUAGGAUGAAUCUUCUUCUUCUUCUUCUCAUUAUUGUUGCCUUCGUUUCCUUUUGCUUUUUCGUUCUCCAUUUUUGUCUGAUUCUCCUUUAAACGCUUUUGCUGCACAUAAAGAUGGCCAUAGUUUAAUCCCAUUGAAGACAUAGCUACAAAAUACACAAAAAAAAAAUGUACUCUCAAUUGGUUUAAUCUUCAAAUCUGUCAAACCCAAGUUCAGAAUUUAUAGCCAAAUAAUUGAAUAUCCUAUUCUUC
rnacentral:lncRNA from 1 species